AAAUUGAAGAGUUUGAUCAUGGCUCAGAUUGAACGCUGGCGGCAGGCCUAACACAUGCAAGUCGAACGGUAACAGGAAGCAGCUUGCUGCUUCGCUGACGAGUGGCGGACGGGUGAGUAAUGUCUGGGAAACUGCCUGAUGGAGGGGGAUAACUACUGGAAACGGUGGCUAAUACCGCAUAACGUCGCAAGACCAAAGAGGGGGACCUUCGGGCCUCUUGCCAUCAGAUGUGCCCAGAUGGGAUUAGCUAGUUGGUGAGGUAACGGCUCACCAAGGCGACGAUCCCUAGCUGGUCUGAGAGGAUGACCAGCCACACUGGAACUGAGACACGGUCCAGACUCCUACGGGAGGCAGCAGUGGGGAAUAUUGCACAAUGGGCGCAAGCCUGAUGCAGCCAUGCCGCGUGUAUGAAGAAGGCCUUCGGGUUGUAAAGUACUUUCAGCGGGGAGGAAGGUGUUGUGGUUAAUAACCGCAGCAAUUGACGUUACCCGCAGAAGAAGCACCGGCUAACUCCGUGCCAGCAGCCGCGGUAAUACGGAGGGUGCAAGCGUUAAUCGGAAUUACUGGGCGUAAAGCGCACGCAGGCGGUCUGUCAAGUCGGAUGUGAAAUCCCCGGGCUCAACCUGGGAACUGCAUUCGAAACUGGCAGGCUUGAGUCUUGUAGAGGGGGGUAGAAUUCCAGGUGUAGCGGUGAAAUGCGUAGAGAUCUGGAGGAAUACCGGUGGCGAAGGCGGCCCCCUGGACAAAGACUGACGCUCAGGUGCGAAAGCGUGGGGAGCAAACAGGAUUAGAUACCCUGGUAGUCCACGCCGUAAACGAUGUCUACUUGGAGGUUGUGCCCUUGAGGCGUGGCUUCCGGAGCUAACGCGUUAAGUAGACCGCCUGGGGAGUACGGCCGCAAGGUUAAAACUCAAAUGAAUUGACGGGGGCCCGCACAAGCGGUGGAGCAUGUGGUUUAAUUCGAUGCAACGCGAAGAACCUUACCUGGUCUUGACAUCCACAGAACUUUCCAGAGAUGGAUUGGUGCCUUCGGGAACUGUGAGACAGGUGCUGCAUGGCUGUCGUCAGCUCGUGUUGUGAAAUGUUGGGUUAAGUCCCGCAACGAGCGCAACCCUUAUCCUUUGUUGCCAGCGAUUAGGUCGGGAACUCAAAGGAGACUGCCAGUGAUAAACUGGAGGAAGGUGGGGAUGACGUCAAGUCAUCAUGGCCCUUACGACCAGGGCUACACACGUGCUACAAUGGCGCAUACAAAGAGAAGCGACCUCGCGAGAGCAAGCGGACCUCAUAAAGUGCGUCGUAGUCCGGAUUGGAGUCUGCAACUCGACUCCAUGAAGUCGGAAUCGCUAGUAAUCGUGGAUCAGAAUGCCACGGUGAAUACGUUCCCGGGCCUUGUACACACCGCCCGUCACACCAUGGGAGUGGGUUGCAAAAGAAGUAGGUAGCUUAACCUUCGGGAGGGCGCUUACCACUUUGUGAUUCAUGACUGGGGUGAAGUCGUAACAAGGUAACCGUAGGGGAACCUGCGGUUGGAUCACCUCCUUACCUUAAAGAAGC
rnacentral:rRNA from 20 species